rnacentral:rRNA from 1 species
CAGUCGCCGCGGUAAUACGUAGGGUGCAAGCGUUAAUCGGAAUUACUGGGCGUAAAGCGUGCGCAGGCGGUUUGUUAAGACAGAUGUGAAAUCCCCGGGCUCAACCUGGGAACUGCAUUUGUGACUGGCAGGCUAGAGUAUGGCAGAGGGGGGUGGAAUUCCGCGUGUAGCAGUGAAAUGCGUAGAUAUGCGGAGGAACACCGAUGGCGAAGGCAGCCCCCUGGGCCAAUACUGACGCUCAUGCACGAAAGCGUGGGGAGCAAACAGGUUUAGAUACCCGUGUAGUCCCUGUCUCUUAUAC